AGCGUGUUUGAGUGGCGUCAGACUGUCCCUGCUUCUGGGGGAGCUUUGAUAUGUAUGGUUGGGUGAUGGUUAUGGAUGAUUGAAAUCUCUGUCCGCCUGGGGUCCAUUGUUGGUAAAUGUAUCCUAGCGUAGGCUUGUGGGAAUAAUGGCUAUUCAAGACCUGGGGAAAGCGUGAGACUGGAAACAGAGCAACAAAAACUGGGCGCAUUGGUUCAGUCAGGGGAUAGCAGAGAUUGAUGUCUGUGAUCUUAACCUCGAUCUACAUUAUCUUU
rfam:Smittium mucronatum strain ALG-7-W6 scaffold-735, whole genome shotgun sequence.